rnacentral:rRNA from 1 species
ACGUAGGGUGCAAGCGUUGUCCGGAAUUAUUGGGCGUAAAGAGCUCGUAGGCGGUUUGUCGCGUCGGCUGUGAAAACUCGGGGCUCAACCCCGAGCCUGCAGUCGAUACGGGCAGACUAGAGUGCUGUAGGGGAGACUGGAAUUCCUGGUGUAGCGGUGAAAUGCGCAGAUAUCAGGAGGAACACCGGUGGCGAAGGCGGGUCUCUGGGCAGUAACUGACGCUGAGGAGCGAAAGCGUGGGGAGCGAACAGGA